rnacentral:rRNA from 1 species
GACGAACGCUGGCGGCGUGCUUAACACAUGCAAGUCGAACGGAAAGGCCCUGCUUUUGUGGGGUGCUCGAGUGGCGAACGGGUGAGUAACACGUGAGUAACCUGCCCUUGACUUUGGGAUAACUUCAGGAAACUGGGGCUAAUACCGGAUAGGAGCUCCUGCUGCAUGGUGGGGGUUGGAAAGUUUCGGCGGUUGGGGAUGGACUCGCGGCUUAUCAGCUUGUUGGUGGGGUAGUGGCUUACCAAGGCUUUGACGGGUAGCCGGCCGGGGAGGGUGACCGGCCACAUGGGGACUGAGAUACGGCCCAGACUCCAACGGGAGGCAGCAGUGGGGAAUAUUGCGCAGUGGGCGGAAGCCUGAUACAGCAGCGCCGCGUGCGGGAUGACGGCCUUCGGGCUGUAAACCGCUUUCGCCUGUGACGAAGCGUGAUUGACGGUAAUGGGUAAAGAAGCACCGGCUAACUACGUG